UUUUGCCCUACUCACUUUCUUUUUUUGCAGAUAUAAUUGGCAUCGGUUUUCUCGUAUCACAUUUGAUAGAUGAAUUGUUUGUAGUGUUGGUGCAUAAUUUGUUAUAUACAUAUAGCUUCCAUGCAUAUUGGUAGGAUAGAAGGCAUUAAUAUGGACUUUGCCUGUUGUACAUGAGCACACUUGAGGCCUAAGUUAGAUUUUCAGUCAGCCGGGAGGUCCUUAUGCACUAUGAGGAAUAAACUAGCACACUUGGAGGAAUUCUCAUAGCUAGAUUAAAAUUCACAGAUAUUUUCUAUGUUGUCAACUUCUUUUUCUAAUGGCAAAUCGCAAGUGUUCUACUUCCUGGUGAUAAGUAUAACCUUGCUUCUUCUUGUUAUUAACAAUCCUGAAAUUGUUCAGUACAAUGGUCGUUAAUGUAUAUGAUAUAACUUUGUGAGAGUGUUUUGGCGAUUUUUUAUUAUGUAUGUUUUGGUCUGAGAUUGAGAAUACAUCUUAUAAACUGAAAUCAAGGCCCACCUUGGCACUAAUGGAUCUUCAUCCUCUGUUUAUGUGUAGUAUUGUAUUUCUGAUUUCCUAAAGUGGUCUUGGUGAAGGUUGAUGAUUUGUAUGUUUUCACUAUAGUCUCGUUGUUUCUCUGUUUAUUGAAUUAUACUAAGAUAUGACUCAAAUUUAAUAGUUGAAA